AUUGAACGCUGGCGGCAGGCCUAACACCAGCAAGUCGAACGAGUGGCGGAAGGGAGAGUAAUGUCUGGGAAAAUGCCUGAAGGAGGGGGAAAAGUACUGGAAACGGUAGCUAAUACAGCAUACCAUCGGCUGUGACCAGAUGGGAUUAGGUAGUAGGUGGGGGAACGGCUAACCGCGGCGACGAUCCCUAGCGGGUCUGAGAGGAUUACCGGCCACACUGGACCUGCGACACGGUCCAGACUCCUACGGUCGGCAGCAGUGGGGACUAUUGCGCAAUGGGCGCCAUCCUGAUGCAGCCAUGCCGCGUGUGUGAAGAAGGCCUUCGGGUUGUAAAUUACUUUCAGCGGGGAGGCGUUACCCGCAGAAGAAGCACCGGCUAACUCCGUGCCAGCAGCCGCGGUAAUAC
rnacentral:rRNA from 1 species